rfam:Aedes albopictus isolate Foshan contig100145, whole genome shotgun sequence.
UGCCCAGCAACUCCUAUCCCUACCUCCACGCGGUACCGGCCGGAAACUAUGAGCAACCUUAGGGAAGAUCGGGUAACCAACCCCGGUGCGAACUUUGGUCGUAGGCUGACAGGGAAGG